rnacentral:lncRNA from 1 species
CUGCAAUGAAGCCACCCCAAUCAAGAAUGCACCCCCAGGGAAAAAAUAUGUUCGAUGCCCCUGUAACUGUCUCCUUAUCUGCAAAGUGACAUCCCAACGGAUUGCAUGCCCUCGGCCCUACUGCAAAAGAAUCAUCAACCUGGGGCCUGUGCAUCCCGGACCUCUGAGUCCAGAACCCCAACCCAUGGGUGUCAGGGUUAUCUGUGGACAUUGCAAGAAUACUUUUCUGUGGACAGAGUUCACAGACCGCACUUUGGCACGUUGUCCUCACUGCAGGAAAGUGUCAUCUAUUGGGCGCAGAUACCCACGUAAGAGAUGUAUCUGCUGCUUCUUGCUUGGCUUGCUUUUGGCAGUCACUGCCACUGGCCUUGCCUUUGGCACAUGGAAGCAUGCACGGCGAUAUGGAGGCAUCUAUGCAGCCUGGGCAUUUGUCAUCCUGUUGGCUGUGCUGUGUUUGGGCCGGGCUCUUUAUUGGGCCUGUAUGAAGGUCAGCCACCCUGUCCAGAACUUCUCCUGAGCCUGAUGACCCACAGACUGUGCCUGGCCCCUCCCUGGUGGGGACAGUGACACUACGAAGGGAGCUGGGGUAGUUAAAGGCUCCCGGGGCUUCUAGAAGGAAGCCAAGCAGCUGCCUUCCUUUUCCCUGGGGAGAGGUAGGAAGGAACCAGGCCCUCACUUAGGUUUGGAGGGGCAGAUAAGAGCACUGCUGACCAUCUGCUUUCCUCCAAGGGUUGCUGUGUCUAGGGUGAAGUAGGCAAAACGUUGCCCUUAAAACUGGGCCCUGAAGACGGUUCCAGCCUUGUCCUUCCUGUGUGCUCCCUGAGAGCCAUUCCUGUCCCUUACACAUUCCAGGGCAGGGUGGGGGUGGGUAGCCCUGGGGGUUCCCCUCCCUCUUGUGCACCAUUAGGACUUUGCUGCUGCUAUUGCACUUCACCAGAGGUUGGCUCUGGCCUCAGUACCCUCAGUCUCCUCUCCCCACAUUGUGUCCUGUGGGGGUGGGGUCAGCCGCUGCUCUGUACAGAACCACAGGAACUGAUGUGUAUAUAACUAUUUAAUGUGGGAUAUGUUCCCCUAUUCCUGUAUUUCCCUUAAUUCCUCCUCCCGACCUUUUUUACCCCCCCAGUUGCAGUAUUUAACUGGGCUGGGUAGGGUUGCUCAGUCUUUGGGGGAGGUUAGGGACUUAUCCUGUGCUUGUAAAUAAAUAAGGUCAUGACUCU